rnacentral:rRNA from 1 species
UACAGAGGUGGCAAGCGUUGUUCGGAAUUACUGGGCGUAAAGGGCGAGUAGGUGGCCAUCUAAGUCAGACGUGAAAUCCCCCGGCUUAACCUGGGAACUGCGUCUGAUACUGAACGGCUUGAGUAUGGGAGAGGAACGUAGAAUUCCAGGUGUAGCGGUGAAAUGCGUAGAUAUCUGGAGGAAUACCGGUGGCGAAGGCGGCGUUCUGGACCAUUACUGACACUGAAUCGCGAAAGCUAGGGGAGCAAACGGG